GGGUUGUGAGGUUAAGUGACUAAGCGUACACGGUGGAUGCCCUGGCAGUCAGAGGCGAUGAAGGACGUGCUAAUCUGCGAUAAGCGUCGGUAAGGUGAUAUGAACCGUUAUAACCGGCGAUUUCCGAAUGGGGAAACCCAGUGUGAUUCGUCACACUAUCAUUAACUGAAUCCAUAGGUUAAUGAGGCGAACCGGGGGAACUGAAACAUCUAAGUACCCCGAGGAAAAGAAAUCAACCGAGAUUCCCCCAGUAGCGGCGAGCGAACGGGGAGGAGCCCAGAGCCUGAAUCAGUGUGUGUGUUAGUGGAAGCGUCUGGAAAGGCGCGCGAUACAGGGUGACAGCCCCGUACACAAAAAUGCACAUGCUGUGAGCUCGAUGAGUAGGGCGGGACACGUGGUAUCCUGUCUGAAUAUGGGGGGACCAUCCUCCAAGGCUAAAUACUCCUGACUGACCGAUAGUGAACCAGUACCGUGAGGGAAAGGCGAAAAGAACCCCGGCGAGGGGAGUGAAAAAGAACCUGAAACCGUGUACGUACAAGCAGUGGGAGCACAGAGCAAUCUGUGUGACUGCGUACCUUUUGUAUAAUGGGUCAGCGACUUAUAUUCUGUAGCAAGGUUAACCGAAUAGGGGAGCCGAAGGGAAACCGAGUCUUAACUGGGCGUUAAGUUGCAGGGUAUAGACCCGAAACCCGGUGAUCUAGCCAUGGGCAGGUUGAAGGUUGGGUAACACUAACUGGAGGACCGAACCGACUAAUGUUGAAAAAUUAGCGGAUGACUUGUGGCUGGGGGUGAAAGGCCAAUCAAACCGGGAGAUAGCUGGUUCUCCCCGAAAGCUAUUUAGGUAGCGCCUCGUGAAUUCAUCUCCGGGGGUAGAGCACUGUUUCGGCAAGGGGGUCAUCCCGACUUACCAACCCGAUGCAAACUGCGAAUACCGGAGAAUGUUAUCACGGGAGACACACGGCGGGUGCUAACGUCCGUCGUGAAGAGGGAAACAACCCAGACCGCCAGCUAAGGUCCCAAAGUCAUGGUUAAGUGGGAAACGAUGUGGGAAGGCCCAGACAGCCAGGAUGUUGGCUUAGAAGCAGCCAUCAUUUAAAGAAAGCGUAAUAGCUCACUGGUCGAGUCGGCCUGCGCGGAAGAUGUAACGGGGCUAAACCAUGCACCGAAGCUGCGGCAGCGACGCUUAUGCGUUGUUGGGUAGGGGAGCGUUCUGUAAGCCUGCGAAGGUGUGCUGUGAGGCAUGCUGGAGGUAUCAGAAGUGCGAAUGCUGACAUAAGUAACGAUAAAGCGGGUGAAAAGCCCGCUCGCCGGAAGACCAAGGGUUCCUGUCCAACGUUAAUCGGGGCAGGGUGAGUCGACCCCUAAGGCGAGGCCGAAAGGCGUAGUCGAUGGGAAACAGGUUAAUAUUCCUGUACUUGGUGUUACUGCGAAGGGGGGACGGAGAAGGCUAUGUUGGCCGGGCGACGGUUGUCCCGGUUUAAGCGUGUAGGCUGGUUUUCCAGGCAAAUCCGGAAAAUCAAGGCUGAGGCGUGAUGACGAGGCACUACGGUGCUGAAGCAACAAAUGCCCUGCUUCCAGGAAAAGCCUCUAAGCAUCAGGUAACAUCAAAUCGUACCCCAAACCGACACAGGUGGUCAGGUAGAGAAUACCAAGGCGCUUGAGAGAACUCGGGUGAAGGAACUAGGCAAAAUGGUGCCGUAACUUCGGGAGAAGGCACGCUGAUAUGUAGGUGAAGCGACUUGCUCGUGGAGCUGAAAUCAGUCGAAGAUACCAGCUGGCUGCAACUGUUUAUUAAAAACACAGCACUGUGCAAACACGAAAGUGGACGUAUACGGUGUGACGCCUGCCCGGUGCCGGAAGGUUAAUUGAUGGGGUCAGCGCAAGCGAAGCUCUUGAUCGAAGCCCCGGUAAACGGCGGCCGUAACUAUAACGGUCCUAAGGUAGCGAAAUUCCUUGUCGGGUAAGUUCCGACCUGCACGAAUGGCGUAAUGAUGGCCAGGCUGUCUCCACCCGAGACUCAGUGAAAUUGAACUCGCUGUGAAGAUGCAGUGUACCCGCGGCAAGACGGAAAGACCCCGUGAACCUUUACUAUAGCUUGACACUGAACAUUGAGCCUUGAUGUGUAGGAUAGGUGGGAGGCUUUGAAGUGUGGACGCCAGUCUGCAUGGAGCCGACCUUGAAAUACCACCCUUUAAUGUUUGAUGUUCUAACGUGGACCCGUAAUCCGGGUUGCGGACAGUGUCUGGUGGGUAGUUUGACUGGGGCGGUCUCCUCCUAAAGAGUAACGGAGGAGCACGAAGGUUGGCUAAUCCUGGUCGGACAUCAGGAGGUUAGUGCAAUGGCAUAAGCCAGCUUGACUGCGAGCGUGACGGCGCGAGCAGGUGCGAAAGCAGGUCAUAGUGAUCCGGUGGUUCUGAAUGGAAGGGCCAUCGCUCAACGGAUAAAAGGUACUCCGGGGAUAACAGGCUGAUACCGCCCAAGAGUUCAUAUCGACGGCGGUGUUUGGCACCUCGAUGUCGGCUCAUCACAUCCUGGGGCUGAAGUAGGUCCCAAGGGUAUGGCUGUUCGCCAUUUAAAGUGGUACGCGAGCUGGGUUUAGAACGUCGUGAGACAGUUCGGUCCCUAUCUGCCGUGGGCGCUGGAGAACUGAGGGGGGCUGCUCCUAGUACGAGAGGACCGGAGUGGACGCAUCACUGGUGUUCGGGUUGUCAUGCCAAUGGCACUGCCCGGUAGCUAAAUGCGGAAGAGAUAAGUGCUGAAAGCAUCUAAGCACGAAACUUGCCCCGAGAUGAGUUCUCCCUGACUCCUUGAGAGUCCUGAAGGAACGUUGAAGACGACGACGUUGAUAGGCCGGGUGUGUAAGCGCAGCGAUGCGUUGAGCUAACCGGUACUAAUGAACCGUGAGGCUUAACCUUACAACGCCGAAGCUGUU
rnacentral:rRNA from 1 species